CCUGUGGUACUGUAACAAUCAGAAGACGCCUAUGUGAAGACAAACUAUGGACAAGAGACCCCACAAAGUCCCUGUUGAAAAAAAAGAGGUUACAAUUU